CAUCGACAUUAGGGUUUUAGAAGCAGCUCCUUCCCCUCCUCUGCUGCUAUAUAUACGUGACGGUAAAACCCUAAGUAGAAGGCUUGCAGCUCGGCACACUCUGAGCAUCUCUGCAAACAUGUAUCCGUUUCUUCCCAUCGCUAAUGAAGCGUGGGCUUUAGUAAUAUAGGUGGCCAACCGUAGAUUCGGUCCGCCGGAAAAUGAAAACCUCUCCUUUCUGGUGCUAUUUUUCUGAAAAAAUCGAAUCUUUACGCCACUCUUUUCCCGUCGAUUUGCGCUAUCUGUAGGGAGCAAAUAUGUUAGUCAGAUGCAUAUCGUUAGCGUGGAGCUGAAAUAUUUAUCUCUCUCGCUUUCUCCUAUCAAUGAUGAUGUUUUUGAAUCAUACUCCUUCUGGAGAAAGAUGAAAUUGUGUUGAGGAAAUCAGAAUCUCUGAUGCAUUUGUUAAAUUUUUAUUCAACUUCUUUUUCUCUACUCCUUUUUAUGUUGUGUUAUUUUUUGCUGUAUAGUGUUAUGCCUUUUGCCUAUGAUGGCAUUAAAUAUACUUUGAGUAUCUCACUUUGAAAAGAACCUAAACCUGAGGUAUAAAGGUGUAAUUCACUAAUUUUUUUUAGAGUUGUGGAUUUGUAUUAUUGUUUUUCUCAGUUCU